rnacentral:rRNA from 1 species
AGUGAACGCUGGCGGUAGGCCUAACACAUGCAAGUCGAACGGCAGCACAGUAAGAGCUUGCUCUUACGGGUGGCGAGUGGCGGGCGGGUGAGGAAUACAUCGGAAUCUACUUUUUCGUGGGGGAUAACGUAGGGAAACUUACGCUAAUACCGCAUACGACCUACGGUUGAAAGCAGUGGAUCUUCGGACCUUGCGCGAUUGAAUGAGCCGAUGUCGGAGUAGCUAGUUGGCGGGGUAAAGGCCCACCAAGGCGACGAUCCGUAGCUGGUCUGAGAGGAUGAUCAGCCACACUGGAACGGAGACACGGUCCAGGCGCCUACGGGAGGCAGCAGUGGGGAAUAUUGGGCAAUGGGCGCAAGCCUGAUCCAGCCAUACCGCGUGGGUGAAGAAGGCCUUCGGGUUGUAAAGCCCUUUUGUGGGGAAAGAAAAGCAGCAGGUUAAUACCCCGCGGUUCUGACGGUACCCAAAGAAUAAGCACCGGCUAACUUCGUG